UGGGGAAUUUUACACAAUGGGCGAAAGCCUGAUGUAGCGACACCGCGUGAGCGAAGAAGCCUUUUGGGGUGUAAAGCUCUGUCAGCAGGGACGAAAAAAAUGACGGUACCUGCAGAGGAAGCAUCGGCUAACUACGUGCCAGCAGCCGCGGUAAGACGUAGGAUGCAAGCGUUGUCCGGAUUUAUUGGGCGUAAAGAGUUCGUAGGUGGUUUGUUAAGUCUGAUGUUAAAGACUGGGGCUCAACCUCGGGACUGCAUUGGAUACUGGCAGACUUGAGUGCGGUAGAGGCAAGUGGAAUUCCAGGUGUAGCGGUGAAAUGCGUAGAUAUCUGGAAGAACACCGGUGGCGCAAGCGACUUGCUGGGCCGUAACUGACACUGAGGAACGAAAGCUAGGGGAGCGAAUGG
rnacentral:rRNA from 1 species